rnacentral:rRNA from 1 species
UACGAAGGGGGCUAGCGUUGCUCGGAAUACUGGGCGUAAAGCGUGCGCAGGCGGUUAUGUAAGACAGAUGUGAAAUGCCCGGGCUUAACCUGGGAACUGCAUUUGUGACUGCAUGGCUAGAGUUUGGCAGAGGGGGGUAGAAUUCCACGUGUAGCAGUGAAAUGCGUAGAUAUCGAGAGGAACACCAGUGGCGAAGGCGAGUCCCUGGACAACUUCUGACGCUGAGGCACGAAAGCUAGGGGAGCAAACAGG